UCUCGGGGUUACAGCCUUGCUGAAUUAUUCACCCUUGUCUUUUGCGUACUUCUUGUUUCCUUGGUGGGUUCGCCCACCACUAGGACAAACAUAAACCUUUUGUAAUUGCAAUCAGCGUCAGUAACAAAUUAAUAAUUACAACUUUCAACAACGGAUCUCUUGGUUCUGGCAUCGAUGAAGAACGCAGCGAAAUGCGAUAAGUAGUGUGAAUUGCAGAAUUCAGUGAAUCAUCGAAUCUUUGAACGCACAUUGCGCCCUUUGGUAUUCCAAAGGGCAUGCCUGUUCGAGCGUCAUUUGUACCCUCAAGCUUUGCUUGGUGUUGGGCGUCUUGUCUCUAGCUUUGCUGGAGACUCGCCUUAAAGUAAUUGGCAGCCGGCCUACUGGUUUCGGAGCGCAGCACAAGUCGCACUCUCUAUCAGCAAAGGUCUAGCAUCCAUUAAGCCUUUUUUUCAACUUUUGACCUCGGAUCAGGUAGGGAUACCCGCUGAACUUAAGCAUAUCAAUAAGCCGGAGGAAA
rnacentral:rRNA from 1 species